rnacentral:rRNA from 1 species
UAACGAUACGGGACUCAUCCGAGGCCCCGUAAUCGGAAUGAGUACACUUUAAAUCCUUUAACGAGGACCCAUUGGAGGGCAAGUCUGGUGCCAGCAGCCGCGGUAAUUCCAGCUCCAAUAGCGUAUAUUAAAGUUGUUGCGGUUAAAAAGCUCGUAGUUGAAUUUGUGUGCCACGCUGUUGGUUCAUCGCUCGCGAUGUUCAACUGACAUGUUUGUGGGACGUCCUACCGGUGGGCUUGCUUCUCUUCGGAGGGGCGGCUCAGCUAAUCCCAUCGCGGUGCUCUUGAACGAGUGUCGAGGUGGGCCGGUACGUUUACUUUGAACAAAUUAGAGUGCUCAAAGCAGGCUAUGCUCGCCUGAAUACUUUUGCAUGGAAUAAUGGAAUAGGACCUCGGUUCUAUUUUGUUGGUUUUCGGAACCCCGAGGUAAUGAUUAAUAGGGACAGAUGGGGGCAUUCGUAUUGCGACGUUAGAGGUGAAAUUCUUGGAUCGUCGCAAGACGGACAGAAGCGAAAGCAUUUGCCAAAAAUGUUUUCAUUAAUCAAGAACGAAAGUUAGAGGUUCGAAGGCGAUCAGAUACCGCCCUAGUUCUAACCAUAAACGAUGCCAGCUAGCGAUCCGCCGAUGUUCCUCCGAUGACUCGGCGGGCAGCUUCCGGGAAACCAAAGCUUUUGGGUUCCGGGGGAAGUAUGGUUGCAAAGCUGAAACUUAAAGGAAUUGACGGAAGGGCACCACCAGGAGUGGAGCCUGCGGCUUAAUUUGACUCAACAC